AUACGUAGGGGGCGAGCGCUGUCCGGAAUGAUUGGGCGUAAAGGGCGCGUAGGCGGCCCGGUAAGUCUGGAGUGAAAGUCCUGUUUUUAAGAUGGGAAUUGCUUUGGAUACUGUCGGGCUUGAGUGCAGGAGAGGUAAGUGGAAUUCCCAGUGUAGCGGUGAAAUGCGUAGAGAUUGGGAGGAACACCAGUGGCGAAGGCGACUUACUGGACUGUAACUGACGCUGAGGCGCGAAAGUGUGGGGAGCAAACAGGAUUAGAUACCCUGGUAGUCCACACUGUAAACGAUGAAUGCUAGGUGUAGGGGGUAUCGACCCCUUCUGUGCCGCAGUCAACACAAUAAGCAUUCCGCCUGGGGAGUACGACCGCAAGGUUGAAACUCAAAUGAAUUGACGGG
rnacentral:rRNA from 1 species